UACGUAGGUCCCGAGCGUUGUCCGGAUUUAUUGGGCGUAAAGCGAGCGCAGGUGGUUUAUUAAGUCUGGUGUAAAAGGCAGUGGCUCAACCAUUGUAUGCAUUGGAAACUGGUGGACUUGAGUGCAGGAGAGGAGAGUGGAAUUCCAUGUGUAGCGGUGAAAUGCGUAGAUAUAUGGAGGAACACCGGUGGCGAAAGCGGCUCUCUGGCCUGUAACUGACACUGAGGCACGAAAGCGUGGGGAGCAAACAGG
rnacentral:rRNA from 1 species